UACGUAGGGCGCAAGCGUUGUCCGGAAUUAUUGGGCGUAAAGAGCUCGUAGGCGGUCUGUUGCGUCGGCUGUGAAAACCCGGGGCUCAACCCCGGGCCUGCAGCCGAUACGGGCAGACUAGAGUUCGGCAGGGGAGACUGGAAUUCCUGGUGUAGCGGUGGAAUGCGCAGAUAUCAGGAGGAACACCGACGGCGAAGGCAGAUCUCUGGGCCGUAACUGACGCUGAGGAGCGAAAGCAUGGGGAGCGAACAGG
rnacentral:rRNA from 1 species